GCGCAAGUGGCGAAAUCGGCAGACGCGCUAGCUUCAGGAGCUAGUGGGGUAACACCCGUGCAGGUUCAAGUCCUGUUUUGCGCA
rnacentral:tRNA from 1 species